UAAGUUCCUGUUAUACGCUGUCAUACAGUAUAUGCCUUGAGCUCUUAUUUUGAAGGCGCUAAGAGCGGAAGUGAGGUCACGUUGUUGGAGUGGAGCGAAGGUUUUGAAAAGAAGUUCGCAUGUAUGUCACCUCAUGUCAUCGCUUUGAUUAAAUAAUAUGUGUGUGGAGGGAGGUGUGGCCAGCGCGCCUGCAGGAACAAAGGUCACCGCCUCUGUCUGUGGUGCUGAGGACGAGCACCAUCGGAUGGUGCUGACGGCGAGACACAGCUGACAGUAGGCGGCCGAUAGCAGGAGGGGAGAGAGGAUACGGACGUGACUGAAAAGUCACGUUCUGCUGGAGAAAGACUUUGAC